rnacentral:sRNA from 1 species
AUAAUAUGCAUGAAAUUGAAUAUAAAUAUUUAAAUUAUGACCCAGUACUUAGUAAUAAAUUUUCUUAAAUCUAUUUUUGACCCGUUAUAAUAUUUUUUCAUGUAUUGAACAGUUUAUAUUCGUUUUUAAAAGUUUAAAUUAUGGCAUAUGCGAAAAAACUCUAAUUAUUUUUUUAUAACGAUGAUAUUAUUUUUUCGCAAAAAUAGAAUCAUAUAAAGAUGAGAGGUGAACUAUAAUAAUUAAUAAAAAAUUAAUAUGAUAAUUUAGAUAUCAAAUCUUAUUUGUUGAUUUUAAUUGGUUA